GGUAUGGUGGUUUAGUGGUUAGCAUUUUUGCAUUGCACCUCCAGGAGUUGGGGGUUCGAUUCCUGCCUCUGCCU